rnacentral:SRP_RNA from 1 species
CCGUGCUAGGUGGGGAGGUAGCGGUGCCCUGAACCUGCAAUCCGCUAUAGCAGGGCUGAAUUCCGGCCUGAGGUCUUCGGCCUCAAGCAGAGUCCGGGCCAGUGGUGCUGAGAGCCGGGUCCCGCGCAACAGGAAUUCGUGAACCCCGUCAGAUCCGGGAGGAAGCAGCGGUAAGCGAGCACUUCUGUGUGCCGCGGGGGAGCCUGACUGGAGCCGUCUACCCGGAUAUCACUUGGGUCCGAUUGUCGAAGGCCGGUGCACGG